ACUCCUACGGGAGGCAGCAGUGGGGAAUAUUGCACAAUGGGCGCAAGCCUGAUGCAGCAACGCCGUGUGAGUGAAGAAGGUUUUCGGAUACGUAAAACUCUGUCCGUAAGGGAAGAAACAAAUGACGGUACCUUAGGAGGAACGCCCCGGCUAACUACGUGCCAGCAGCCGCGGUAAUACGGUAGGGGCAAGCGUUAUCCGGAAUCACUGGGCGUAAAGGGUGCGUAGGCGGCUUAGCAAGCCAGGGGUGAAAGGCAUUGGCUCAACCAAUGUAAGCCUUUGGAACUGUUAAGCUUGAGUGCAGGAGAGGUAAGUGGAAUUCCUAGUGUAGAGGUGAAAUUCGUAGAUAUUAGGAGGAACACCAGUGGCGAAGGCGACUUACUGGACUGUAACUGACGCUGAUGCACGAAAGCGUGGGUAGCGAACAGGAUUAGAUACCCUGGUAGCACAGAG
rnacentral:rRNA from 1 species